GAUGAACGCUGGCGGCGUGCCUAAUACAUGCAAGUCGAGCGAACGGACGAGAAGCUUGCUUCUCUGAUGUUAGCGGCGGACGGGUGAGUAACACGUGGAUAACCUACCUAUAAGACUGGGAUAACUUCGGGAAACCGCAGCUAAUACCGGAUAAUAUUUUGAACCGCAUGGUUCAAAAGUGAAAGACGGUCUUGCUGUCACUUAUAGAUGGAUCCGCGCUGCAUUAGCUAGUUGGUAAGGUAACGGCUUACCAAGGCAACGAUGCAUAGCCGACCUGAGAGGGUGGUCGGCCACACUGGAACUGAGACACGGUCCAGACUCCUACGGGAGGCAGCAGUAGGGAAUCUUCCGCAAUGGGCGAAAGCCUGACGGAGCAACGCCGCGUGAGUGAUGAAGGUCUUCGGAUCGUAAAACUCUGUUAUUAGGGAAGAACAUAUGUGUAAGUAACUGUGCACAUCUUGACGGUACCUAAUCAGAAAGCCACGGCUAACUACGUG
rnacentral:rRNA from 1 species